UGGUAGUUUGAAAAUCAGGUGAGAGUGAUGAGUGUAAUGAGAUCAGGUGGAGUCCAGUGAGACGGUACCAGAAGCUCAGAGCAUUUAUAACUCCAAACUGGGUGGAAGUUUCAUCAAACAGCAGCACUUCAUCUCCUUCACUUUGACUCUGCUGGUGGACAUCAGCUCAGAGUUCCUCAUCAUGUCUCUGUGUGUUGUCAAGAUCUCCUGGAUGGUCUUUGUCCUCUUCAGCAUUGGAGCUUGUCUUCCUGCUAAACAAGG